UGAAUGGAAGGGCCAUCGCUCAACGGAUAAAAGGUACUCCGGGGAUAACAGGCUGAUACCGCCCAAGAGUUCAUAUCGACGGCGGUGUUUGGCACCUCGAUGUCGGCUCAUCACAUCCUGGGGCUGAAGUAGGUCCCAAGGGUAUGGCUGUUCGCCAUUUAAAGUGGUACGCGAGCUGGGUUUAGAACGUCGUGAGACAGUUCGGUCCCUAUCUGCCGUGGGCGCUGGAGAACUGAGGGGGGCUGCUCCUAGUACGAGAGGACCGGAGUGGACGCAUCACUGGUGUUCGGGUUGUCAUGCCAAUGGCACUGCCCGGUAGCUAAAUGCGGAAGAGAUAAGUGCUGAAAGCAUCUAAGCACGAAACUUGCCCCGAG
rnacentral:rRNA from 1 species